ensembl:misc_RNA Metazoa_SRP Metazoan signal recognition particle RNA
GCCAGGCACAGUGGCACGUGCCUAUAGUCCCAGCUACUCAGGAGGCUGAGGCUGGAGGAUCACUUGAGUCCACGAGUUCUGGGCUGUGGUGUGCUAUCCUGAUCAGGUGUCUGCACUAAGUUCGGCAUCAAUAUGGUGACCUCCCGGGAGUAGGGGACCACCAGGUUGCCUAAGGAGGGGUGAACCAGCCCAGGUCAGAAAUGGAGCAGGUCAAAACUCCCAUUCUGAUCAGUAGUGGGGUCGCGCCUGUGAAUAGCCACUGUACUCCAGCCUGGGCAACAUAGUGAGAUACUGUCUUUU